rnacentral:rRNA from 1 species
UACGGCGAGUGAGCGGCAACAGCUCAAAUUUGAAAUCUGGCCCCUAGGGUCCGAGUUGUAAUUUGUAGAGGAUGCUUUUGGUGAGGUGCCGCCCGAGUUCCCUGGAACGGGACGCCGCAGAGGGUGAGAGCCCCGUCUGGCUGGCCACCGAGCCUCUGUAAAGCUCCUUCGACGAGUCGAGUAGUUUGGGAAUGC